AGAGUUUGAUCCUGGCUCAGGAUUAACGCUGGCGGCGUGCCUAACACAUGCAAGUCGAACGAGGGGGCAACCCCUAGUGGCAGACGGGUGAGUAACACGUGGUCAACCUACCGCUUUGUGGGGGAUAACCAGCCGAAAGGUUGGCUAAUACCGCAUACGUCGCGAUCGGCAUCGGUCGUUGAUAAAAGGAGCAAUCCGCA
rnacentral:rRNA from 1 species